rnacentral:rRNA from 1 species
AUUGAACGCUGGCGGCAGGCCUAACACAUGCAAGUCGAACGAGUGGCGGACGGGUGAGUAAUGUCUGGGAAACUGCCCGAUGGAGGGGGAUAACUACUGGAAACGGUAGCUAAUACCGCAUACCCUCGGAUGUGCCCAGAUGGGAUUUGCUUGUAGGUGAGGUAACGGCUCACCUAGGCGACGCUCCCUAGCUGGUCUGAGAGGAUGACCAGCGAAACUGGAACUGAGACAGGGUCAAGCCUCCUGCGGGAGGGAGAAGUGGGGAAUAUUGCACAAUGGGCGUAAGGCUGAUACAGCAAUGCCGCGUGGAGGAAGAAGGCCUUCGGGUUGUAAAGUACUUUCAGCGGGGAGGCGUUACCCGCAGAAGAAGCACCGGCUAACUCCGUGCCAGCAGCCGCGGUAAUAC